ACAUCAAACCUGCCAUGAGAAGUAGUUAAUGCUAACCAUCUCUCAAUAAAAUUCCACUAGCUUAGAGGGUCUUCCCCUACUACCAGGCUACCACUACCGCUUCCUCUAGAGUCUCACAAAGAAUAACGCCAUUAAUUAGGAGCCAGAUAGCUCGCUGGUUAGGUGGCUAAUUAAGCUAGGUUGUUCCACCAUCACCCCUAACCUCUCCACACGAACUCGACCGAGCAGAAUCUAGCUGCUGCGAGCUGCCGGCCUGCAAUGGGGCACCAGCACCAGAUGUUCGAAGACCCGUUCGCGAGCAGCAUAUCGUCGCUGGAGGCGGACAUCUUCUCCGUCGCCGCCGGCCACCACCAUCCGCAGUGGCCGGGCCUCGACCACGACGUCCCGUUGGCGCUGGCUGCCAACAACGGCACAUCGUCCGGCGGCUACGGCUCCCCCGGUGGCGGCGACGGCUCGGGCUCCCACCGCAAGAUCAGCCACAACGCGUACGAGCGCGACCGCCGCAAGCAGCUCAACGAGCUCUACUCCGACCUCCGCUCCCUCCUCCCCGACACCGAUCACACGAAGAAACUGAGCAUUCCGAUCACGGUGUCGCGGGUGCUCAAGUACAUCCCGGAGCUGCAGAAGCAGGUGGACGGACUGGAGAAGAAGAAGGAGGAGCUGACGCGCGCCAACUGCAAGCCCGGCGUGCUGACCAUGAAGGAGAACAUGGCUCCGAUCGUGUCCGCCACCUGCCUCGAUGACAGAGAAAUCAUGGUCCAGGUCAGCCUGGUGAGCACCAUGGCCGGAGUUCUGCCCAUGUCCAAGUGCAUCAAGGUGCUGGAGAACGAAGGCCUACGCCUCAUCAGCUCGUCCACUUCCGCGUUUCACAACAGGACGUUCUAUAGCCUCCAUCUUCAGAGGGUUUAUACUACUACCGAAGUGUCAACAUUCAUUGGUGAUCAAUCUUUACACCCUUGGCAAAGAGCACGACCGAGGUCCCUCUAUUUCAGUCAUUUGUUUGGUUUUUUGGACAUGAAGAACAAAGCACUUGGGUGGACGAGGUUGUUGCUUCUUCCUCCUAAUUCAGCCAGGUCAGUUGAUACUAGACUAGAUCUAGGUAUACUAUUUUUUCUGAAACGGGGGCAAAAGAUUUUCCUCGUCGAUUAAUCAAGCAAAAAAAAAAUUGCCCAAUUAGUUGGCAGAAAACCGAACGAAAACCGUGAUCUAGGUACUAGGGGGUGGCUACACCCACAUAGAUCUUUGUUAGCCUUGGCUUUUGUCUCACAUCCUUUCCAGCCCCAACUUAAAAGGGGUUACAUCUGGACUUAUGUCAAGGCACAAGAAAGAGAUAUGCCAUGAGGAGACACAAAAACUCAUGAGAUGGCGCCAUGAUUGUGUGGCCAAGCGGCUCCAUUAAGCAUGAGACCUGUUCGCCAACAAACAGACAUGGUCCAAGUUCAACUGACCUUCAUUUGUGAAGGACCAUGUGGCCCAAGUUUAGUUGUGUGGUGAAAUCAGUUCCACAUGGCAAUUGUAGAGAAAGUUUUUUUUUGUGGGAAAACUUUCAGUCUAUUCAUCUUCAAUCAUGAUAGUACAACGAGUACUAGAAAUAAUAAAAAUACAUCAAGAUUCGUAGACCACCUAGCGACGACUGCAAGCACUAAAGCGAGAAAGUUUGACCGGCAUAUAUACUCUUGUCUACCAACCACAUAUAGCAUUUAUGGGUUAACCCUUUUAGAGCAUCUUCAAUGGCAACCCGUAAAUUUCCUCAUGCAUCCAUGUUUGUCUUCGGUUUGCGGGAAAAAUCACGUCCGUACCGCACCGCGGACCGCUACAGGCCCGCGCUGGAUGGCUUCCGCUGUCCGAACAUCAUGGUCCGGACGCAUGCAGGAGGUUUGCGGGUCGGCGUUGGAGAUGCCGUUACAUGAAGCGAUGAUGAAGCUGCAGUAGCGGCGAUAGAGAACCCAACGGACGAUGAGCAAGGAGUGUCCGGCAUUUUGUGAAGAACUGGAGAACGCCCUGACGCAAAAGGCAGGACUACGUCUACAUCACCACCAGUAGAUCAUAUGUAGCAUAAGAAUGGUGUAUACUGUGGUGUUUAACCACCAUGAAUCAAAAUACAUGCAUGCCAUAGAUAUAGGGCAAAUACACAAGAUAAAUAGUACUGCUGAUAUGCAUGCAUGAUCGUACGUAUAAUGCAGCGUGUUUCAUAUAUAGUAACUAUAUGCGAUUGUAUAUA